GUUGGUCUUUAUAAUUUUGGUUAUAUUCAUUUUUUAUCUUGAGGGAUAUAGGGAGGAAUAAGUUGUAUUAUUGUUGUUAUUGUAUAUAUUGUUUUCUUGGCUCAGCAGCAGUUCAUAAGCAGUUUCUGUGCUUCUCUGUAUUUAUCACACACAUCAUUUCUUACAGCAUAGUGAUAUCCUAUUAUAUUCACAUAGCACAAGUUAUUUACCAUUUCCUUAUUGAUGGACAUCCACCUUGUUUCUAGUUCUUUGCUAUCACAGAAUGUGCUACUAUAAAUAUUUUGGGGUAUGUUUUUACAAACUUUACUCUUAGUGAUGGCUUCCUUGGGGGUACAAACCCAAGAAGAGAGUCUCUGGUUCAAAGCAUAUGGACAUUUUAGUUUCUUUAUUUGCAUAAUUAGAAAUUUCUUUCCAAAACCACCCUACCAGUCCAAAGCUCUACCAUAAUGUAUUAAUGGGCCUAUCAUUCCACAAACUCUCCAGUACUGAAGAGUACCAUUUUUUGUCAUCUUUUCUAUUUUGCAGAGUGUGAGGUAAAAUCUCAGGGUUGUUUUGAUUUAAAGUAAUGAUACAGAACAUUCUUUAAAGUGGUUGUGAAUAUACCACAAUUAUUUUAAGAACUGUUUGUUCAUAUUCUUUGACUACUUAUCUUUUGGGGAAUCUGCCUUUUCUUUUAGAAUAACAUUUUAGAUUUAUCAAGGGAAUACAUAAUAAUCUAGUGGAGAGAGUUGAGAAUUAGGAGGCUUGGUUUCCAGUACCAGUUCUUGUCACUAAUUAGCCAUGUGGCUUAGGUAAGUGACUUCAGUUCUCUAGAAUUUCAUUGUUCCUAAAGUAAAAUGAGCUUGUCGGACCAGAAGAAUGCUGAGAUCCCAUCCAGCUCCAACACUCAGUGAUGCCAGUAUCCAUCGAGAUGAGGUUCAGUGCCUGGGAUGUGAGCAUUUUCCCAGCAUUUUUGAGAUGCCCCAUUGGUACUCUAAAUAAGAUCAUGUACCCCAGGAAACUUAAAGCCCAAAGACUUAAUGUCCUGCUAGUAGAACUGUGAAUUGGACCAAGACAUUCUGGGAAGCAAUUUGGAUUUAGCCCUUGAAUGAACAUAUUGCACAUAUGUUUUGACCCAAUGAUAUCACUGCUAGCUUAUACACUCAAAAGAGAGGGAAAGGACCCAUAUAUACAAAAAUAUUUACGGCAGCUUUUCUGUGUUGGCAGAGACUGACUGAACAAAUUAUGGCAAUAAAUAUAAUAGAGUAUUAUUACACUCUUAGAAAUGAUAAAGGAGAUGGUUUCAGAGAAACCUGGGAAGACUUAGAACUGAUCCAGAGUGAAAUGAGCAGAACCCCUGAGAGCACCGCUGUAAAGAAAAACCAUUUUGGAAAGAUUUAAUUAUGGAAACCAUAGUUCUGGAAGGUCUAGUCCAGAAGAUUGAGGAUGAAAGAGGCUUCCAUCUUUUCUUGGUCAGGUGGAGCCAGUGGAGGUUCACUGAGUCAGCUGUCCAGUCUGAAGUCAAGACAAGGCCCUGGAUCACCAUCCUGCUGCCUCCCCAGCCAGAUGCAUCAUUCAGUCCUAACUAGGCUAACCCUGUCCCGAGUCCUGAAACCUUAAGCCGUUGUUACCCUUCUAGAUGCGUCUAGCUCCAGUCACUUUCUUUUUACCAAACUUAAUUUACAUUAAGAGGGUAAAUUCACAAGUUACACAGAGAAUAUCAGAGGAUCAGCGUUCUAACAAAAUAUUUAUAUUUCCACUGACCAACUGGAUGGCCGUCAAGCUUUAAGUCAACAAACCAAGUCAAGGCAGCAAACAUUUAUCUAGUGAUGUGUUAAGUAUAAGGGGUACAAAGAAAGGCAAAAAUGUGGUCCCUGUCCUCAAGGACCUUGCAGUCUAAUGAGGGAAAAACAUGUAAACAACUAUGUGCAAAAAAAUUUACAUAUAAAGUAAAUGGGAGGGAAUCUCAGAGGAAAUCAUGAACAAUAGUGGGGACUGUGAACCUUCCAAAUAAAUCUGUACUGUCUGCAGUCCUAAGGCACCAGGACCCCCUGCAGUGUCUGAAUGCAAACUCUGCCUCGCAGGCCAGAAUGAAAGGGACUGCUGGGGCUCAGAACUUGCGAUGGUCAUCUUCUGGUUACCUGGGCAUAAGGUGGAUUAGAAAACCCAUCUCUCCUCCCACUGCCAAUCAGGAAACCAUCUAUCCAGAGGCUGUGAAGGUCCUUGAAAAAAAUAACACGGAUACUUCCUUAUUCUUAAUGUUUUUCACUGUUAGCGACCAUAAGCCCUUUGUGCCUCAGCAAAUAGUUUCACAAGUUUCUGGGUUAAGAAUUUCAUUAGCCAGGAGCCAGCAUUGUGGAUGCUGACCCUUUCCACAUCUUGCUAGGCUGCAUAGUCUGUUGCUAAGCCUGUACUUCCAGCCUUCCCAGGUUUAUGGGACCCCUGGAUCAGAGAUUCUUAAUGUGGUAACUGUGGACUUAUUUUUUAAAAUUUAAUGAAUUUUAAUUUUUAUAUAAGCAUUUUAAUAUAAUCAGCUUCCUUUGUGA